CCCACACGCGCGCACACGAACACACCGUGUGCUGUCAACCUGUCUGGUCUCCUGGGGCACAAAGAAAGGGAGGGACAGUGGCAGUGGGUCCUGAGGACCAUUCAGUGAACUGACCGGGAGGGUAUUUCAGCCCCGAAGAGGGAACCGCGCCAGGGGGACACCAAGGUCAAAGUGGCCAGAGGUUUGGAACUGGGGGAAGAGAGGUUCUGGUGACGAAAGAACACCCUGGAAGGAAAGAGUGGAAAACCCGAGGUGACCGAAAGGAGCUGGCAGCUUCCCCCGGACGAGGACACAGACGGGGAAAGGCCCUGAAAGUCCGGGAAGAAAGAAAUGACGGUGGAGAAAAAAGGCGGAGCGGGAGAAAGGCGGAGAAACGGAGAGAAAAGACGGAGAAUCCUUAGAAGAAAAAGCGUCUUGGCUGCAUGGGGCCGGGAGAGUCUGCAAACACCUGGAGACGGGGAAGGAGGGGGCGGCCUGGGAGUUUCAUUCUUGGUGGCAUCUGCUUUGCGCCCAGAAGCGAGGCCGGCUGGUGACAGAAGCGGCGUCUGUGCCGCCUCCCAGGUGUUCUCGCACCCGGUCUUCACGAGCAAACACAUGGCAGUGCUGACAUGGAUUAGGAUCCAGUGGAAGCCAAGAAAAGAAAACUAAGAAAGGGAAAAAGCUACUCACAGCUUCGCCAGCAGCAGCUUGGCUGUCUGGGUUCCAGAGGGCUGCCUCUUCGGGGCCAGAGUGGCUGAUGCAGGAGUUUCUCAGGGCUUCUGCUUCCAUCGUGGACCGAGAGAAAGUAAAGCAGUAAAUGUGGAACCAGAAGGACACCCCAUUAUUUAUUUUGGGCUACACCUGCAGCAUAUGGAGGUUGCCGGGCUAGGGGUCGAAUUGGAGCUACAGCUGCCGGCCUCCACCCAUAGCCCCAGCAACGCAGCACCCGAGCCACAUCUGCAACCUACACCACAGCUCACAGCAACGCCGGAUCCUUAACUCACUGAGUGAGGCCAGGGAUGGAACCCACAUCCUCAUGGAUACUAGUUGGUUUCGUUACGGCUGAGCCAUGAAGGGAACUCCCACCAGCCCCACUUAAAGUUUCUCCGGAGCCACAGAGCAGCAGAAAAGAAGGCAAAAUUCCUAGUCACCAAAUGCACACCCAUGGACUUUUUAAAUUUCUUUGUACCAAGGAGCCAUCGUUUGAUCUCGUGUUCUAGUGGCUCAUCUCGGUCCUCGGAAAAUGUUAGGAUUCAGAUCCUUAGGACCGAGGACAGGAAUUGAAGGGAAAGAUGACAUUCCAGAGUAGGAGACCCUGGUCGUAGGGAAAUCUGAGAUGAUUCGCAUAUUUUAGCAUCUGUUUCCACCCUUCUGCUGAUUUGAAUAAGCGCCAUCACAGCCCUAGUUUGACCUCAGAGGGUCAAACACUCCCUUUAUCUGAGAUGAAGGAGGAGCUAGUGAUGUAAGAACGAGGAAGAGAUGUCUUUUUCGCUCCCUGCUUCCCUUGGAUGAUAAAACUGUAGCCCAGCUAAUCCUCGGGGCAGAGCCUCCCCGCCUGCCCGCUUGCAUCUCUCACAAGCAUCCUGUCUUAAUGAAUCUAUGUCUGCCUAUCGCUUUGUCGCUCGCUGAAUUCCUUCUGCGCUGAGACGUAAAGAACCUGAGCCUCAGUAAGUCCGGACACCAAGUGAGUGCUUCUAAUUUAAAAACAGUGGGUUCAAGUCCCAAUCCGGCUGCUGGCUGGCUUCAAGUCAAGUGUGACCAUUUGCAAAACACGGACUCCUCCCCAGCCACGAGUCAGCUGUAGUGGCCGGAGCGAAAUACCGCAAGUUGGGUGGCUUGAAAAUGACGAGUUGAUUCUCUCCCGGUGCUGGAGACGGGAAGUCCCAGAUCAGGGCACCGGGGGGUGGCUUCCUCAGGCCUCCCUCCUUGGCUUGUGUCAUCUUCUCCCCGUGACCUCACAAGGUCAUCUGUCUGUAAGCGCCUCUGCUUACAGGGACACCAGUCGGAUCGGGUUAGGACUCGCCCUCCUGACCUCCUUCCCACGUGGUCACCUCUUUGAAGACCCUUAUCUGCAAGAGGGCCACGUGCUGAGGUCCUGGAGGGUGGGAUUCUCAACUAUGAAUGUUCUGGGGACACAACUCAGUUUCUGACGCCCCUUCACCCACGAUGCUCUUGCCGUCUCUUGUCAAGACACUGCUUUAUGGAGCACCUGUCGUGGCGCAGUGGUUAACGAAUCCGACUGGGAACCAUGAGGUUGUGGGUUCGAUCCCUGGCCUUUCUC
rnacentral:lncRNA from 1 species